rnacentral:rRNA from 1 species
UGAGUAAUGCAUCGGAACGUGCCCGGUCGUGGGGGAUAACACUUCGAAAGAAGUGCUAAUACCGCAUACGAUCUAUGGAUGAAAGCGGGGGACCGUAAGACCUCUCGCUAUUGGAGCGGCCGAUAUCAGAUUAGCUAGUUGGUGGGGUAAAGGCCUACCAAGGCAACGAUCUGUAGUUGGUCUGAGAGGACGACCAGCCACACUGGGACUGAGACACGGCCCAGACUCCUACGGGAGGCAGCAGUGGGGAAUUUUGGACAAUGGGCGCAAGCCUGAUCCAGCAAUGCCGCGUGCAGGAAGAAGGCCUUCGGGUUGUAAACUGCUUUUGUACGGAGCGAAAAGGCUCUCUCUAAUACAGGGGGCUGAUGACGGUACCGUAAGAAUAAGCACCGGCUA